CAAAAUAUAAAUUACUACAUGCCAAACGUUGCAAUCUCAUUGGACUGUUUUUACAAUUUUUUGUACUUGCCUAUAAUCUUUUCCCCAUUUUGGCGUUUUCUGUGGUCUCUCUCUUUCUCUCCUUCCCUCUUAUCUCUCCUUAAACCCUAAAAAUGUUGAACAAAUUUAUGUCACAGACUUUCAUCCCGCCGCCGCACACCCAUAUCGCACAGUUCUGUUCCCUCUUCGUCUUCCUCCUCCGUUCCAUCUAACAUCAUGGUUACUGAACCGUCACACUUUUUUUCAUUUCCAAGUUUGCUUCUCACAAUUAGCUCAGGGAUUUAUCAAAGUUACAUCGCUCUCAAAGUUCCCGCUGUUUCAGAAAAAUGUUGAAGUUGGCCGACAUUCUCACGGCACAGAUGGGCGGCUAGAUUUGAAGCACAUAUAAGGGAUAACAACUAUAAACAAGAGUGUUGUGUUAGAAAAGACCGUCAAGAAUGACUUGGGGCAAUUGUUGGCUUCUGUCACAUGACUUUAGACCAUUCCUACUGUAUAUUUGGAAUUCCAUCUGGAUGACUUUGAAGUUACCUUAAAUGUUUGCCCGGGUAGGCAAUUUUUCUGGAGGAGGGUUGUAUUUUCGGGGAUUCGAUGCGAUAAACAUUUACACACAAUGGGUCAUUGAGAGGUAAGAGUUAAUAAAUGAUGAUGAACAACAUAAAAGCCAACUGACAUUAGGAUUUUUUAAAAAAUUUCAUUUUAAGUAAGCAUUGCUCUAAUCUCAUAGGUUUAAUGGUGUAUAUUCAGCUUUGCUGGUCUAUUUGAUUUUGUCAGGUGUUGCUAUAUUUUUGCAGUUUCUGGUUUCUUUUCAUUGGUUGUUAGCAUUUUAAAACAAUUUGUUUGGUUCUUUGGCAUGUCUUAGGUCUGAGUUUAUAUAUUUUCUUUGUUGUUUCAAAAAUAUGAUUCAUACUGUUACAAGUCAUAUGGUUAUAUAAAUAUAUCAUAAACCAUUUGUUUGAUAUGGUAAGUAUCUUUUGAACCAAAUAGGUUUUUCUUCUUGACUCGCUGUGUAUAAUUUGUCGUUUGAAUGGAUUUCGUGUGUUUACUACUGUUGAGAAAGGAGCUUGAACAACAGACAUUACUUAGAAGGCUUGGUACAACCGAUGACAUGGGUGCUGCUACGACUUUUUUGGCAUAUGAUGACGGGUCUUAUAUAACAGGAGAAACUAUAGUAGUUUCUGGUGAAAUGCCAUUGAGACUGUAACUUACAUUUCCAUCUCCUGCUAGGCUUCUGUUAUGGGUCUAAGCCAAAACGUGAUGGCGAAAUUGGAAUACGUAGCGUGUUUUCAAUACUGUAAUAAUAAUAUCAUUGAGCUGGCUUUCGCUGUAGUUAUGAAAUGAUAAGGGUUGUUCCAUAAUAAAGGAGGAAAUAAUAGUUAUCAAAUGUUUUACUUUAAAUAAUGAAUAAUUUGAAAAACAUGCACCAGUUUUGUGUUAAAAAUAUGUCAAUUUUGUUA